UACGAAGGGGGCUAGCGUUGUUCGGAAUUACUGGGCGUAAAGCGCACGUAGGCGGACAUUUAAGUCAGGGGUGAAAUCCCAGAGCUCAACUCUGGAACUGCCUUUUGAUACUGGGUGUCUUGAGUAUGGAAGAGGUGAGUGGAAUUCCGAGUGUAGAGGUGAAAUUCGUAGAUAUUCGGAGGAACACCAGUGGCGAAGGCGGCUCACUGGUCCAUUACUGACGCUGAGGUGCGAAAGCGUGGGGGAGCAAACAGG
rnacentral:rRNA from 1 species